GAUGAACGCUGGCGGCGUGCCUAAUACAUGCAAGUCGAGCGAACAGACGAGGAGCUUGCUCCUCUGACGUUAUCGGCGGACGGGUGAGUAACACGUGGAUAACCUACCUAUAAGACUGGGAUAACUUCGGGAAACCGGAGCUAAUACCGGAUAAUAUAUUGAACCGCAUGGUUCAAUAGUGAAAGACGGUUUUGCUGUCACUUAUAGAUGGAUCCGCGCCGCAUUAGCUAGUUGGUAAGGUAACGGCUUACCAAGGCAACGAUGCGUAGCCGACCUGAGAGGGUGAUCGGCCACACUGGAACUGAGACACGGUCCAGACUCCUACGGGAGGCAGCAGUAGGGAAUCUUCCGCAAUGGGCGAAAGCCUGACGGAGCAACGCCGCGUGAGUGAUGAAGGUCUUCGGAUCGUAGAACUCUGUUAUUAGGGAAGAACAAAUGUGUAAGUAACUAUGAACGUAUUGACGGUACCUAAUCAGAAAGCCACGGCUAACUACGUG
rnacentral:rRNA from 1 species